UAGGGAAUAUUGCAUAAUGGGCGAAAGCCUGAUGCAGCAACGCCGCGUGUGCGAUGAAGGCCUUCGGGUCGUAAAGCACUUUUAGCGGGGAUGAGGAAGGACAGUACCCGCUGAAUAAGCUUCGGCUAACUACGUGCCAGCAGCCGCGGUAAAACGUAGGAAGCGAGCGUUAUCCGGAUUUACUGGGCGUAAAGCGCGUGUAGGCGGUCACGGAAGUUGGAUGUUAAAGCUCCUGGCUUAACUGGGAGAGGUCGUUCAAUACUCCGAGACUAGAGGAUGGGAGAGGGAAGCGGAAUUCCGGGUGUAGUGGUGAAAUGCGUAGAUAUCCGGAGGAACACCAGUGGCGAAAGCGGCUUCCUGGCCCAUAACUGACGCUCAGACGCGAAAGCUAGGGGAGCGAACGGG
rnacentral:rRNA from 1 species